rnacentral:pre_miRNA from 1 species
UUACUACUCCCUCCGUUCGGAAUUACUUGUCGCGGAAAUGGGUGUAUCUAGACGUAUUUUAGUUCUAGAUACAUCCAUUUCCAAGACAAGUAAUUCGGAACGGAGGGAGUACCAU